CCUACGGGUGGCUGCAGUCGAGAAUCUUCGGCAAUGGGCGCAAGCCUGACCGAGCGACGCCGCGUGCGGGAUGAAGGCCUUCGGGUUGUAAACCGCUGUCGUAGGGGAGGAAGGUCUGGUGAAGAGCCAGGCUUGACCGAUCCUAGGAGGAAGGGCCGGCUAAUCUCGUGCCAGCAGCCGCGGUAAUACGAGAGGCCCAAACGUUAUUCGGAUUUACUGGGCUUAAAGAGUCCGUAGGCGGCGCAGAAAGUAGGGUGUGAAAGCCCUCGGCUCAACCGAGGAAUUGCGCCCUAAACUACUGUGCUCGAGGAACCUAGAGGUGAGCGGAACUGAUGGUGGAGCGGUGAAAUGCGUUGAUAUCAUCAGGAACACCGGAGGCGAAGGCGGCUCACUGGGGGUUUUCUGACGCUGAGGGACGAAAGCCAGGGGAGCGAACGGGA
rnacentral:rRNA from 1 species